rnacentral:rRNA from 1 species
UACGUAGGGGGCGAGCGUUGUCCGAAGUUACUGGGCGUAAAGCGCGCGUAGGCGGUCCUUUAAGUUGAUUGUGAAAUCUUCACGGCUCAACCGGAAAACUGCGGUCAAAACUGGGGGACUUGAGAUUGGGAGAGGGAAGUGGAAUUCCUGGUGUAGCGGUGAAAUGCGUAGAUAUCAGGAGGAACACCGAUGGCGAAGGCAGCUUCCUGGUCCAAUUCUGACGCUGAGGUGCGAAAGCGUGGGUAGCGAACGGGAUUAGAUACCCCGGUAGUCCACGCCGUAAACGAUGGAUACUAGGUGUUAGAGGUAUCGACCCCUCUAGUGCCGCAGCUAACGCAUUAAGUAUCCCGCCUGGGGAGUACGGCCGCAAGGUUGAA